GGGAAUGCUAAGUGGUGGCGAUGCUGGAUAGGGCAGCUUGGCGACAAACUGGGAGAGGACUUGUGUUGUCCACUUCCGCCAUAGCCACACUCGCCCCGAACUCCGAAGCUCAGUGUCGGUGAUCCAAUUUCUCGAUGACUAUCUCACAGUUAUGUUUUCCCAGUGACCAGCUUGUCGUUCUCGGUGGAAAGUGACAUACUCUUCAUGCUUCUUUUAAUUGUUCUUCAUUAACAGAAGGAAAAAAAAAAAAAAGAAGAAGCUUACUUGAUUUGCUCAUUAAUGACUGCCUCGGAAGAGUCGGCAUAGCCUUGGCGAGCGAAGGAGACAUGAGAUGUGAUGGGGAUGGCCAGAUCGGCUUUCUUGACCUCCUCGAACGGCUGGAAGACGACACCGGUCAUAGGCAUGUUGUUGGUGUCAACAGUAGCGGCGGAAACGACCGCAGCUCUGCCGGCGCCAGUUUUCAUGGAGAAUCCGAGAGAAACAGCCGGGGAAGCAGGG